rnacentral:rRNA from 1 species
AUUUAGAGGAAGGAGAAGUCGUAACAAGGUUUCCGUAGGUGAACCUGCGGAAGGAUCAUUGUCGAUACCUCACGACCAGUGCAACAUGCGAACUCGUUUAUUUAUCGUGCGGCGGCUCGAGAGGCCAAUCACUCUCGACUGCCUCGUGUUAAGAGGUGCGCGCCACGUGCCGUCUCCUCUUGGCAGAAAACAAACCCCGGCGCUGGAUGCGCCAAGGAAUCGAAAUGCGUUUACCACACGCCCCCGUCGACCCGGAGACGGUGCUCGCGCGGGCGGCGUCGGGACAAAUGAAAAUUCAAAACGACUCUCGGCAACGGAUAUCUCGGCUCUUGCAUCGAUGAAGAACGUAGCGAAAUGCGAUACUUGGUGUGAAUUGCAGAAUCCCGUGAACCAUCGAGUCUUUGAACGCAAGUUGCGCCCGAAGCCACUAGGCUGAGGGCACGCCUGCCUGGGUGUCACGCGUCGUUGCCCCAACGCCAAAUGCCCAUUCUAGGCACUGAGCGGGGCGAACGUUGGCUUCCCGUGGGCGUUGCCCCACGGUUGGUCGAAAAUCGAGUCCGUGGCGGAGUACGUGUCAUGACAUAUGGUGGUUGAGGUAAAAGCUCGAGCCCGGUCGUGCGCUCGUCUCCGUGGAUCGUGGGCUCUUGACCCUCGUGCAUCUUUUGAUCGCCCGUAACGAGACCUCAGGUCAGGCGAGGCUACCCGCUGAGUUUA